rnacentral:lncRNA from 1 species
UGCCGAUCUCCUAUCUCAUCUCAAAGACCUUGUGACCCAAGGUCUUUGUGACCUGUACCUCGUGCCAACCUCCUACCUCAUCCUGUGACAGAAUGCCUAACUUACUGGGAAUGCAGACCAGCAGGUCUCAGCCUUAUUUUACCCAGCCCCCAUUCACCAUGGAGUUGCUCUGGUUCACAUGCCACUGACGAGGUGGUCAGGGAAGGCAAUUCCUGGAAAGAAUUUUGGAGAAAAUAAUAGAAGAAAGCCAGAGCUCCAAUAAAGUCUACCCAGUGGGAGUUGGCAAUUCAGACCCAGGGUUGCUGAUACGACAUCAUCUACUCAUCCAAGAUAU